AAAUUUCUACAUCUCUUAUAUUUUCUUGGCAUCCAAACACUCUUUAUUCUUACAGUUUUGCAAUAAAAUCACUCUUUCUUCUCCAAUUUCUCACCUAAACUUAGCUCGUUUUCUCAAUUGGUACAAAUUCGUGGAGGUUUUCAAGCUAAAGCUGAAAACGUUGGUGGAGCCUCAACAAACCGAGAAAAAAGCAAGUAAAAGGUUGUCUAGUUUAACGAGACGUGAUGAGCUACAGUUUGCGGGCUAGCAAUAAGGGUGGCAAAUCGGUGAUCCAUCGCAAGGCAUUUUCUUUGAGUAUGUGUGUUGAGAUUUCAAGCUCUGAAGUGAAGGCAAUGUGGGUCGUUCCAAGGUUUAGUACUAGAAUUAGACUUAAACUUUUUUGAUAAAAUUUCCAUCGAGAUGUAAAUGGACAUUAUGGAAUGUUUGUUUUUUUAAGGGAUUUUUUACAUUAUAA